ensembl:lncRNA
CCGCCGUCCCUGGGAUUCUCCAGGCAAGAACACUGGAGUGGGUUGCCAUUUCCUUCUCCAAUGCAUGAAAAAGAAAAGUGAAAGUGAAGUCGCUCAGCCGUGUCCGACUCUUAGCGACCCCACGGACUGCAGCCAAUCAGGCUCCUCCGUCCAUGGAUUUUCCAGGCAAGAGUACUGGAGUGGGAUGCCAUUGCCUUCUCCGAUUUCAGGAGACAGAUCCAAAGAAAAUAGUACUACAAUUUAUGCAGAGGAACUUGGAUCCCCCAACACUGGCAAUGGAAAGAGACCCUCAAUGUGGGAAGAAACAGCUAGACUGUGUUCCCAGAUAGUCAUUCUCAAGUAAGAAGAAGCAAAAAUGUGUCUGAAUCUCCAGACUGUUGGACUGUGAAGAAGACUGAGUGCCGAAGAACCAAUGCUUUUGAAGUGUGGUGUUGGAGAAGACUCCUGAGAGUCCCUUGGACUGCAAGGAGAUCCAACCAGUCCAUCCUAAAGGAGAUCAGUCCUGGAUGUUCAUUGGAGGGACUGAUGCUGAAGCUGAAACUCCAAUAUUUUGGCCACCUCAUGUGAAGAGUUGACUAAUUAGAAAAGACCCUGAUGCUGGGAAGGAUUGGGGGCAGGAGGAGAAGGGGACGACAGAGGAUGAGAUGGCUGGAUGGCAU